rnacentral:rRNA from 1 species
GACGAACGCUGGCGGCGUGCUUAACACAUGCAAGUCGAGCGGUAAGGCCCCUUUUGGGGGGUACACGAGCGGCGGAACGGGUGAGUAACACGUGGGUGGACCUGCCUUCAGCUCUGGGAUAAGCCUGGGAAACUGGGUCUAAUACCGGAUAUGACCUUUGCCUGCAUGGGGUGGGGGUGGAAAGAUUUGUUUUGGCUGGGGAUGGGCCUGCGGUCUAUCAGCUUGUGGUGGGGUGAUGGCCUACCAAGGCGACGACGGGUAGCCGGCCUGAGAGGGCGGACCGGCCACACUGGGACUGAGACACGGCCCAGACUCCUACGGGAGGCAGCAGUGGGGAAGUAUUGCGCAAUGGGCGGAAGCCUGACGCAGCGACGCCGCGUGGGGAUGACGGCCUCGGUUGUAA